rnacentral:rRNA from 1 species
AACGAACGCUGGCGGCAGGCUUAACACAUGCAAGUCGAACGCAUCCUUCGGGGUGAGUGGCAGACGGGUGAGUAACGCGUGGGAACGUGCCCUUCAGUUCGGGAUAACCCAGGGAAACUUGGGCUAAUACCGGAUACGUGCGAGAGCAGAAAGAUUUAUCGCUGAAGGAUCGGCCCGCGUCUGAUUAGCUAGUUGGUGGGGUAAUGGCCCACCAAGGCGACGAUCAGUAGCGGGUCUGAGAGGAUGAUCAGCAACAUUGGGACUGAGACACGGCCCAAACUCCUACGGGAGGCAGCAGUGGGGAAUAUUGCGCAAUGGGCGAAAGCCUGACGCAGCAACGCCGCGUGAGGGACGACGGCCUUCGGGUUGUAAACCUCUUUCAGCAGGGAAGAAGCGAAAGUGACGGUACCUGCAGAAGAAGCACCGGCUAACUACGUGCCAGCAGCCGCCGUAA